UACGGAGGGUGCAAGCGUUAUCCGGAUUCACUGGGUUUAAAGGGUGCGUAGGCGGGCUUGUAAGUCAGUGGUGAAAGCCCGGGGCUCAACUCCGGAACUGCCGUUGAUACUGCAAGUCUUGAGUACGGUUGAGGUGGGCGGAAUACAUCAUGUAGAGGUGAAAUUCUUAGAUAUGAUGUAGAACACCGAUUGCGAAGGCAGCUCACUAAAGCGUAACUGACGCUGAGGCACGAAAGCAUGGGGAUCAAACAGG
rnacentral:rRNA from 1 species